rnacentral:rRNA from 1 species
GACGAACGCUGGCGGCGUGCUUAACACAUGCAAGUCGAACGGAAAGGCCCUGCUUUUGCGGGGUUCUCGAUUGGCGAACGGGUGAGUAACACGUGAGUAACCUGCCCUUGACUUUGGGAUAACUUCAGGAAACUGGGGCUAAUACCGGAUAGGAUCUCUUGCUGCACGGUGUGGGUUGGAAAGUUUCGGUGGUGGGGGAUGGACUCGCGGCUUAUCAGCUUGUUUGUGUGGUAGUGGCUUACCAAGGCUUUGACGGGUAGCCGGCCUGAGAGGGUGAACGGCCACAUUGGGACUGAGAUACGGCCCAGACUCCUACGGGAGGCAGCAGUGGGGAAUAUUGCACAAUGGGCGGAAGCCUGAUGCAGAGACGCCGCGUGCGGGAUGACGGCCUUCGGGUUGUAAACAGCUUUCGCAUGUGACGAAGAGUGAGUGACGGUAAUGGGUAAAGAAGCACCGGCUAACUACGUG